AGUUUGAUCCUGGNUCAGGACGAACGCGGGCGGCGUGCCUAACACAUGCAACUCAAAGGAAAGUUUAUUCGGAAAUAAGGACUUGGCGCAAGGGUGAGUAAGGCAUAGGUAUUGUACCNUUUGGAUUGGCAUAACCCCGAGAANUNGGGGACAAUACCAGAUGAUGCAGCGGAACCGCAUGGUUAUGUUGUUAAAUGAUUUAUCGCCAAAGGANGAGCCUAUGUUCCAUCAGGUAGUUGGUAGGGUAACGGCCUACCAAUCCAACGACGGAUAGUUGNUCUGAGAGGAUGGUCAGCCACAUUGGAAUUGAGACACGGUCCAGAUUCCUACGGGAGGCAGCAGUGAGGCAUAUUGCGCAAUGGGCGAAAGCCAGACGCAGCAACGCCGCGUGGAUGAUGAAUUUCUUCGGAAUGUAA
rnacentral:rRNA from 1 species